GCCCUCGUAGCUCAAUGGAUAGAGCAGGCCGCUUCUAUCGGCAAGGUUGGGGGUCCGAUUCCCUCCGAGGGCACCA
rnacentral:tRNA from 1 species